GAUGAACGCUAGCGGCAGGCCUAACACAUGCAAGUCGAGGGGUAGAAGGAGCUUGCUCCUUUGAGACCGGCGCACGGGUGCGUAACGCGUAUGCAAUCUACCUUGUACAGGGGAAUAGCCCAGAGAAAUUUGGAUUAAUGCCCCAUAGUAUAUAACCUUCGCAUGUUGGUUAUAUUAAAGUUCCAACGGUACAAGAUGAGCAUGCGUCCCAUUAGUUAGUUGGUAAGGUAACGGCUUACCAAGACGAUGAUGGGUAGGGGUCCUGAGAGGGAGAUCCCCCACACUGGUACUGAGACACGGACCAGACUCCUACGGGAGGCAGCAGUGAGGAAUAUUGGUCAAUGGUCGCAAGACUGAACCAGCCAUGCCGCGUGCAGGAAGACGGUCCUAUGGAUUGUAAACUGCUUUUAUACAGGAAGAAACCCUCCCACGUGUGGGAGCCUGACGGUACUGUAGGAAUAAGGAUCGGCUAACUCCGUG
rnacentral:rRNA from 1 species